UAGCAGCGGUUGCCUGGAGACCGCGCAGCCUGUGCUGUGUUGGCGCGUUGGUCUGCGGGUCGCGGCCGGCGGGACUCCGGCGCCAUGGCGCCCAAAAAGAAAGGGAAGAAAGGGAAAGCCAAAGGUACCCCGAUCGUUGACGGUCUCGCUCCGGAGGACAUGAGCAAGGAGCAGGUGGAGGAGCACAUUGGCCGCGUCCGGGAGGAGCUGAGCCGUGAGCGGGAGGAGCGCAGCUACUUCCAGCUGGAGCGGGACAAAAUCCACACUUUCUGGGAGAUCACGCGGAGGCAGCUGGAGGAGAAGAAGGCUGAACUGAGGAACAAAGACCGGGAGAUGGAGGAGGCUGAGGAGAGGCACCAGGUGGAGAUCAAGGUCUAUAAGCAGAAAGUGAAGCACUUGCUGUACGAGCAUCAGAACAGCUUGAUGGAGAUGAAGGCGGAGGGCACCGUGGUCAUGAAGCUGGCGCAGAAGGAGCACCGCAUGCAGGAGGGGACGCUGUGCAGGGACGUGCGGGCGCUGAAGGUGGGGCUGAAGGAGCAGGAGCUGGCCAGCGAGGUGGCGGUGAAGAACCUAAGGCUGAAACACGCCGAGGAGAUCACCAAGAUACGCAAGGACUUUGAGCGGCAGGUGCGAGAAAUCGAGGCCAAGUAUGAUAAGAAGGUCAGGAUGCUUAGGGAUGAGCUUGACCUGCGCCGGAAGACAGAGAUCCACGAGGUGGAGGAGAGGAAGAACGGCCAGAUCAGCAUGCUUAUGCAGCGCCACGAGGAGGCCUUCACGGACAUCAGGAACUAUUACAACGAAAUCACCCUCAACAACCUGGCUCUCAUCAACUCCCUCAAGGAGCGGAUAGAGCGCAUGCGGAAGAGGGAGGAGCUCCUGGAGAAGGAGGUGACGGAGGCGGCCACGCAGAACAGGCGCCUGGCAGACCCCCUGCAGGAGGCUCGGGACGAGAUGAGUGAGAUGCAGAAGCAGCUUGGGGGCUACGAGAGGGACAAGCAGAUCCUGCUGUGCACGAAAGCCCGUCUGAAAGUCACCGAGAAGGAGCUGAAGAGCCUGCAGUGGGAGCACGAGGUGCUGGAGCAGCGCUUCACCAAGGUGCAGCAGGAGCGGGACGAGCUGUACCGGAAGUUCACCGCAGCCGUCCUGGAGGUGCAGCAGAAGGUGGGCUUCCAGAACCUCGUCUUGGAGCGCAAGGUACAGGCACUGGCCGCCGUGGUGGAGAAGAAGGAGGUGCAGUUCAACGAGGUGCUGGCAGCCUCCAGCCUGGACCCUGCGGCCCUGACCCUCGUGUCCCGCAAGCUGGAGGACGUUCUGGAAUCGAAGAACAGCACCAUCAAGGACUUGCAGUACGAGCUGGCCCGGGUCUGCAAGGCCCACAAUGACUUGCUGCGUACCUAUGAGGCGAAGCUCCUGGCCUUUGGGGUCCCCCUGGACAACGUGGGCUUCAAGCCCCUGGAGACGGCCGUGAUCGGGCAGACGCUGGGCCAGGGCCCCGCAGGACUCGUGGGCACCCCAGCGUAGCCCCUGCCCGGGGCCACUGCCCGGGUGACACCCCCCUCACGCACCGAGGACAGCAGGUGAGUGUGAUGCUGGAGCCGCAGCAUUCUACCCCCGCCCCCUCCCCGGCACCAGGAGGACAGACACGGGCCCUACGGAAGACACACGCUGAGGACGAAAGAAGCUGCAUCCCUGGUGUUGCCACUGGGCUGCCUGGCAGGUGGGUGGGGCCUUUCGCGUCUGGAUUGUGUUACGUGCAGUGAUUUUAAACCACUCGCGUUGAUUUUUCCAGGUGGGUAGCCCAAAGCGUUUCUGCUUCAGGGAGUUGAGAUCAUGCAGGUAAAACGUAUAACUACACACAGGGUGCUCAGUACCUUGGAACUGACCAUUCUUCCCGGGUGGCCAAGACGCUGAGCAGCAACGAGAGACUCCCGUCCUCCUGUCCCAGUGAGAAGGCAGCUGGUCGGGCUGCCGUCUGGGUCUGCGCUGGUGCUGGGAGGUCCCCGCCCUACCCUGAGCCCCUGGAGAGGCCCACGUGGGACCACCCUCUGGGGCCCCGCUGAGGCACUGCAGCUGUGCUAUGACACGAAGGGUGCCCGAGCCCCUGCCCCUACUCCACACCCCACCCCCGGAGUCCUUCCAGGCCGCUGUGACGGGAAUUUGUGGUCAGAACUCAACGGAAGGGACAUGAGGGCAGCUGGGACCUUCCUCCACUGAGGAAAUAUUGAACAUCGCCAGGUACACUGAGGUGACACAGGUGACAAGGGGAAGGCCAUUUCACAUGGUACUGUGCGCUGAGAAGGCCACACGAUGGGCGGUGCCAGAGGGUGACAGGUGCUGGAGGUCAGGGGGCCUGCCGGCAGGCUGAGGAAGGCGAAGCCAAGGGUGGGGGUCACAGGAGGGGUGCAUUUGGCCCCCGGUAGAAUUUCAGCUCCCCAAGGACCUAGGUUAUUGUCUGUUUCCUCAAGGCUGUUCCCGUGCCUGGGUUAGGACCUGGCCAGAGGUAGGUGCUAAAUCAAUAUCCCUUGAAUGAAUGGACAGAAGGAGUGUGCAGAUAUGCACAGAGGGCCAGUGAGUGUGCAGAUACGCAAGGGCAGAGACGUCAGGCUGCAGAGCGGGAGUUAAGUAGAUGAAGAAGGCAGAGAUGCAAGAGAGCGCGGGAGGGAGAGAGGCAUGGUUUCCGGGCCCUGCUUCCCAGCCCUCACAGGGCUCUCCUCCACCCCAAGCCCGUCUGCACUCUGUUUCUUUACGGGAAGCUCCCUCUGUCCUUCACUCACCCGUGUGUCCUGCACUGCGCGUCUCUGAAGCAGCUCCGAGUCUGUUCCCACCACACCACCUGUGCCCGAAGCCUCCUUAGCCCUAAGCCGGGGCAUCGGAGAGCUCUGGCCAGAGAUGAGGCCCCUUCCCUGCCCCGGGACAACCGCACCUUGUCUGUGUCGUGGACUCUGCUUUCUGCACCUGUGUGCCCGUUCGGGUCACUGCCUGGGCCAGGAUUGGCUGCCCUCGCCCUGGGACAGGGAGCAUUCGUGGGUCAGUGCAUCCCAGCGGGUUCUAAUGUUCCGCCAGGCUGAGGACCGCUGGCCUGCAUCAUGACACUGCUGCUCAGCAGUGACACAUGGGCCACCGUAGAACAUAGUUCACGAGACAUCCGCUGGUCUCAGCUGGACUGCGAGGUCGGGCCGAGGAUGGGAGUAUUGGUGCCUCUGGUGCCUGGGAUUGCGGCUGCGAUCACAAGCCUUCACCUUGGGGGUUGCCGGCACACAGGCACGUGGUGGUCAGCGCGGGGAUCAGAGGUGCUGCCAGAGAGCAGACACACCAAAUGUGGGGGGCCUUCCCUCCACUAAGGGACUGGCUUCCCGGGCGCUGUCUUGUCAGGCACACCUCAGGGCUCAUCUUGGCCCACCACUCAGCAGAGAAGCAGACUUUGAUAAAUUCAGACCAUCCCCUUCCAAAACUGACCCAGGAGGAGACUUCCCCCGGAUUGAGAUCUGCUCAACGUAUUCCCAGUCCCAGCACCGAACUGGGGGGUCCUGGGACCCCUUCAGUUAUGUGGUCAACACUUACGGGGUCAGGAUGCCAGGAAUGUUUUCCGGUUUCACCAGGGGAUGUGGUCUAAUUUUGUGGCAGGCAGAGCCACUUCUUUUUGCCAGGUAGAGGAGGGGCCUUGUGGGUACAGUUCUGAUUUCCUCCAGGGGUCCCUCAGGGCGCGUUGUGCCCGGGGCUCACCGUCAGCCUGUGUGCGCCAGCAGGACCCCGCCUGCAGCAGCCGCCUCUUCUGACUGGUUGGUCCAUGUGCCAGCUGGUCUGGGGUCUGUUCUCAUGGGUUGAGUGUCUGUUCUGAGUGGCUGGUGUCUUCUUCUUUGUUUAAUCGAUAUUUUUUUAAUUGACAUAU